rnacentral:rRNA from 1 species
UGGGGAAUUUUGGACAAUGGGCGAAAGCCUGAUCCAGCAAUGCCGCGUGUGUGAAGAAGGCCUUCGGGUUGUAAAGCACUUUUGUCCGGAAAGAAAUCCUUGGCUCUAAUACAGUCGGGGGAUGACGGUACCGGAAGAAUAAGCACCGGCUAACUACGUGCCAGCAGCCGCGGUAAUACGUAGGGUGCAAGCGUUAAUCGGAAUUACUGGGCGUAAAGCGUGCGCAGGCGGUUUGCUAAGACCGAUGUGAAAUCCCCGGGCUCAACCUGGGAACUGCAUUGGUGACUGGCAGGCUAGAGUAUGACAGAGGGGGGUAGAAUUCCACGUGUAGCAGUGAAAUGCGUAGAGAUGUGGAGGAAUACCGAUGGCGAAGGCAGCCCCCUGGGCCAAAUACUGACGCUCAUGCACGAAAGCGUGGGGAGCAAACAGGAUUAGAUACCCUGGUAGUCCACGCCCUAAACGAUGUCAACUAGCUGUUGGGGGUUUUAUUAACCUUAGUAGCGCAGCUAACGCGCGAAGUUGACCGCCUGGGGAGUACGGUCGCAAGAUUAAAACUCAAAUG